CGCGGAGUAGAGCAGCCUGGUAGCUCGCGAGGCUCAUAACCUUGAGGUCAUUGGUUCAAAUCCAUUCUCCGCAA
rnacentral:tRNA from 1 species